UACGAAGGGAGCUAGCGUUGUUCGGAAUCACUGGGCGUAAAGCGUGCGUAGGCGGCUUCUCAAGUCAGGGGUGAAAUCCCAGAGCUUAACUCUGGAACUGCCUUUGAAACUGUGAAGCUAGAAUGUGAGAGGGGAUGGCGGAAUUCCUAAUGUAGAGGUGAAAUUCGUAGAUAUUAGGAGGAACACCCGUGGCGAAAGCGGCCAUCUGGAUCACAAUUGACGCUGAUGUACGAAAGCGUGGGUAGCAAACAGG
rnacentral:rRNA from 1 species